rnacentral:rRNA from 1 species
UGGGGAAUAUUGCACAAUGGGCGCAAGCCUGAUGCAGCCAUGCCGCGUGUAUGAAGAAGGCCUUCGGGUUGUAAAGUACUUUCAGCGGGGAGGAAGGGAGUAAAGUUAAUACCUUUGCUCAUUGACGUUACCCGCAGAAGAAGCACCGGCUAACUCCGUGCCAGCAGCCGCGGUAAUACGGAGGGUGCAAGCGUUAAUCGGAAUUACUGGGCGUAAAGCGCACGCAGGCGGUUUGUUAAGUCAGAUGUGAAAUCCCCGGGCUCAACCUGGGAACUGCAUCUGAUACUGGCAAGCUUGAGUCUCGUAGAGGGGGGUAGAAUUCCAGGUGUAGCAGUGAAAUGCGUAGAGAUCUGGAGGAAUACCGGUGGCGAAGGCGGCCCCCUGGACGAAGACUGACGCUAAGGUGCGAAAGCGUGGGGAGCAAACAGG